AUGGAGCUGCUGGGCGCGUCAGGUACUACAUCCCCAGGGCCAAUAAGCUUCUCCCGGGAACUGGCUCUGUCAUGACCCUGGUCAUGGUAUCUGGUGCCCACCUGCUCAUGCAGGCCUUGGGAGGAUGCACCACCAACGGCUUCGGCGGCUCCACC
rnacentral:other from 1 species